CUCACGGACUUUAACGCAGCAGCUUGCUCAGAUUAUUUUACCAAAUUGGGAGCUGUUUUUCUCGUAACAUGAUCUAUCAGAAUUGAAUAUUCACGCAUGCUACUGUGGGAACCAGCUGAUUUGUUUUUCUCGUAACAUGAUCCAAUAUUCACGCAUGCUACUGUGGGAACCAGCUGAUCGACUUUGUUUAUUCAGGCAUGCUACUGUGGGAACAAGUUUCCAUUCUCGUUAAAGUCUACAUAUUUCUACUGGAUUUUGCACGAGUUUAGGAGCUGUUUUGGUCUUCAAUCUGCAGCAUGCGUUAGGAGCUUUUUUCAAACUCAAGAACGUUAA
rnacentral:lncRNA from 1 species